rnacentral:rRNA from 1 species
AUUGAACGCUGGCGGCAUGCCUUACACAUGCAAGUCGAACGGUAACAGGUCUUCGGAUGCUGACGAGUGGCGAACGGGUGAGUAAUACAUCGGAACGUGCCUAGUAGUGGGGGAUAACUACUCGAAAGAGUGGCUAAUACCGCAUGAGAUCUACGGAUGAAAGCAGGGGAUAGCAAGACCUUGUGCUACUAGAGCGGCCGAUGGCAGAUUAGGUAGUUGGUGGGAUAAAAGCUUACCAAGCCGACGAUCUGUAGCUGGUCUGAGAGGACGAUCAGCCACACGGGGACUGGAACACGGACCAGAAUCCUACGGGAGGCAGCAGUGGGGAAUUUUGGACAAUGGGCGAAAGCCUGAUCCAGCAAUGCCGCGUGCAGGGUGAAGGCCUUCGGGUUGUAAACUGCUUUUGUACGGAACGAAAAGCCCCGGGUUAAUACCCUGGGGUCAUGACGGUACCGUAAGAAUAAGCACCGGCUAACUACGUGCCAGCCGCCGCCGUAA